rnacentral:rRNA from 1 species
CACGUAGGGGGCAAGCGUUGGUCCGGAUUUAUUGGGCGUAAAGAGCUCGUAGGUGGUUCGAUAAGUCGGGUGUGAAACCUCCAGGCUCAACCUGGAGACGCCACCCGAUACUGUCGUGACUAGAGUCCAGUAGGGGAGCGUGGAAUUCCUGGUGUAGCGGUGAAAUGCGCAGAUAUCAGGAGGAACACCAGCGGCGAAGGCGGCGCUCUGGGCUGGCACUGACACUGAGGAGCGAAAGCGUGGGGGAGCGAACAGG